GUCCGCCUACGGGGGGCAGCAGUAGGGAAUCUUCCACAAUGGACGAAAGCCUGAUGGAGCAACGCCGCGUGAGUGAAGAAGGGUUUCGGCUCGUAAAGCUCUGUUGGUAGUGAAGAAAGAUAGAGGUAGUAACUGGCCUUUAUUUGACGGUAAUUACUUAGAAAGUCACGGCUAACUACGUGCCAGCAGCCGCGGUAAUACGUAGGUGGCAAGCGUUGUCCGGAUUUAUUGGGCGUAAAGCGAGUGCAGGCGGUUCAAUAAGUCUGAUGUGAAAGCCUUCGGGUCAA
rnacentral:rRNA from 1 species